rnacentral:rRNA from 1 species
AUUGAACGCUGGCGGCAUGCCUUACACAUGCAAGUCGAACGGCAGCACGGGAGCAAUCCUGGUGGCGAGUGGCGAACGGGUGAGUAAUAUAUCGGAACGUGCCCGGUCGUGGGGAUAACGUAGCGAAAGCUACGCUAAUACCGCAUACGAUCUACGGAUGAAAGCGGGGGAUCGCACGACCUCGCGCGAUUGGGGCGGCCGAUAUCAGAUUAGGUAGUUGGUGAGGUAAAGGCUCACCAAGCCGACGGUCUGUAGCUGGUCUGAGAGGACGACCAGCCACACUGGGACUGAGACACGGCCCAGACUCCUACGGGAGGCAGCAGUGGGGAAUUUUGGACAAUGGGCGCAAGCCUGAUCCAGCAAUGCCGCGUGCAGGAUGAAGGCCUUC